AAAAAGCUUGCCCGCCUCGAUAAGCACUUACAAGAUACACAUACAAUUAUUUCAGCAGAGGAACGAGAACCUAUCAUGAAGCAGGCCAAGAGAGCAGCCAUCGUGAAAGAGCUCGGUGAACUGCGGAGGUCCCAGCCCGAUGAGCCCAUGGUAUCAACGUUGGACAUGGGGAUUACCGAUGAAUAUGAGGAUGAUUGUCUGCCUAUUGAUUUGGAACCGUCUGAGGAUUCCGUUGAUAAGGAACAUAGGCAGGAGCAAGAGGGAUCCCAGGACGAAGACACAGACAUGGACCUGGA